UCCAGCUUAUGUGCUAGCUCUGUCAGCUCUUCUCGUGGUCUUCCAUUAUAGAGAGUGACACAUGGGCUGCCGGACUAUGUUAGGAGUAACAACAGUAACCAUUAAGAGGCAAAGAGGAAGAAAGAGCUACAGAUGAUAGUGCCCGUGAAGGCUUGGCCUAAUCCUCACUGUCCAUGGAGAAAUAGUUUCAGAGGCGUUUUUCUAAAUGGCUUGGUA
rnacentral:lncRNA from 1 species